UACGAAGGGUGCAAGCGUUAAUCGGAUUCAUUGGGCGUAAAGGGUGCGUAGGCGGCGCGGUAAGUCGGGUGUGAAAUCUCGGAGCUUAACUCCGAAACUGCAUUCGAUACUGCCGUGCUUGAGGACUGGAGAGGAGACUGGAAUUUACGGUGUAGCGGUGAAAUGCGUAGAUAUCGUAAGGAAGACCAGUGGCGAAGGCGGGUCUCUGGACAGUUCCUGACGCUGAGGCACGAAGGCCAGGGGAGCAAACGGG
rnacentral:rRNA from 1 species